rnacentral:rRNA from 1 species
GCCUUCGGGAACUCUGACACAGGUGCUGCAUGGCUGUCGUCAGCUCGUGUCGUGAGAUGUUGGGUUAAGUCCCGUAACGAGCGCAACCCUUGUCCUUAGUUACCAGCACGUUAUGGUGGGCACUCUAAGGAGACUGCCGGUGACAAACCGGAGGAAGGUGGGGGAUGACGUCAAGUCAUCAUGGCCCUUACGGCCUGGGCUACACACGUGCUACAAUGGUCGGUACAAAGGGUUGCCAAGCCGCGAGGUGGAGCUAAUCCCAUAAAACCGAUCGUAGUCCGGAUCGCAGUCUGCAACUCGACUGCGUGAAGUCGGAAUCGCUAGUAAUCGUGAAUCAGAAUGUCACGGUGAAUACGUUCCCGGGCCUU